rnacentral:rRNA from 1 species
CCGACGGUGAGAGGUGAAAGCUGGGGGCACGAACCGGAUUAGACACCCGGGUAGUCCCAGCCGUAAACGAUGCUCGCUAGGUGUCUGGGAUGGUGCGACCGUUUCAGGUGCCGCAGGGAAGCCGUGAAGCGAGCCACCAGGGAAGUACGGCCGCAAGGCUGAAACUUAAAGGAAUUGGCGGGGGAGCACUACAACGGGUGGAGCCUGCGGUUUAAUUGGACUCAACGCCGGAAAACUCACCUGGGGC